rnacentral:snoRNA from 1 species
UAAUCAGGUGGGAUAAAUUCUUACCUAUUUUUCCUUUUGGUGCUGAUUGGAGAUGCAUGAAACGUGGUCAACAUCUCUGAGUAAACAGGACUUGAUUGAUUGCUCCUUUCUGAU